GACGAACGCUGGCGGCGUGCUUAACACAUGCAAGUCGAACGGAAAGGCCCUGCUUUUGUGGGGUGCUCGAGUGGCGAACGGGUGAGUAACACGUGAGUAACCUGCCCUUGACUUUGGGAUAACUUCAGGAAACCGGGGCUAAUACCGGAUAGGAGCUCCUGCUGCAUGGUGGGGGUUGGAAAGUUUCGGCGGUUGGGGAUGGACUCGCGGCUUAUCAGCUUGUUGGUGGGGUAGUGGCUUACCAAGGCUUUGACGGGUAGCCGGCCUGAGAGGGUGACCGGCCACAUUGGGACUGAGAUACGGCCCAGACUCCUACGGGAGGCAGCAGUGGGGAAUAUUGCACAAUGGGCGGAAGCCUGAUGCAGCAACGCCGCGUGCGGGAUGACGGCCUUCGGGUUGUAAACCGCUUUCGCUUGUGACGAAGCGUGAGUGACGGUAAUGGGUAAAGAAGCACCGGCUAACUACGUG
rnacentral:rRNA from 1 species